GCUGGGCGUGGUGGUGCGUGCCGAUAGUCCCAGCUACUCAGGAGGCUGAGGUGGGAGAACUGCUUGAACCUAGGAGUUCUAGGCUAUAGUGCGCUAUGCUGAUCGGGUGCCUGCACUAAGUUCAGCAUCAAUAUGGUGACCUCCUGGGAGCAGGGGACUCGCAGGUUGCCUAAGGAGGGGUGAACUGGCCCAGGUCGGAAAUGGAGCAGGUCAAAACUACCGUGCUGAUCAGUAGUGGGAUCGCGCCUGUGAAUAGCCACUGUACUCCACACUCCAGCCUGGGCAACAUAGCAAGACUCUGUCUCU
rnacentral:SRP_RNA from 1 species